CAUACACAUGACAUCAAGUCAU
rnacentral:snRNA from 1 species